GUCGAUUUCAGUGAGGUCUGACCAUCCACCCCGGGGAAAUCUCAACGUGGAGUAAAUUCACGAUCCACAUCGAUGGUUUGUUGCAGGGGGUGGGGACCUCGUCCAUAUUUGAGUUGUGAUCGAAUUAGGCUAUUAGUCUUUCUCACGCCGCCAUUUUUGGGUGGCUUUAUUGAACUAUAAAUAAACUGGAAGGCUAACUGCUAUGAUGAAGGCCUAUGAUUUGAUGAAGCCAAAAUAGUUUUUCUGAGUUAUGAGCAGAAAUACUUGACCCCAAACGCCGGGCUGUAUAUCAAAUUGAAGCUAUUGAAAAUUGCUAUUCGGUGUGGAAAUUUCAAGACUUCAGCGAAAAGAAAAAUAUUUAAAAAAUACAAAAACAACUGCAAAACGGCAAAUUAUCGGUAAUUAUGUUUGUAGUUUUUCAAUAUUUCCC